AUGCACGUUAUAUCGUAGGUCUCUCUGUUUCUGUAGAAUGACCUUGAACUAACGUGCAAAAAGUGAGAGCUGAUUACUCAGCAAGCAGCCAGACAACUGCUGUGAUGGAUCCACAGAUGAACGGCUCACUAUUGCUGUUUGUCUACUAAUUCCAUCUUACAUUU